rnacentral:miRNA from 1 species
UGCCUUCAAGAUAUAUAGACUCAUAGGGGCUGGGAAGAUGGCUCGUAGGUAGAGUGCUUGCCUUGCAUACAUGAGGCCCUGGGUUCAAUUCCUCAACACCACAUAAACAGAAA